UACGUAGGGAGCAAGCGUUGUCCGGAAUUAUUGGGCGUAAAGAGCUCGUAGGCGGCCUGUCGCGUCCGCUGUGAAAUCCCGGGGCUUAACCCCGGGCCUGCAGUGGAUACGGGCAGGCUGGAGGCAGGCAGGGGAGAACGGAAUUCCCGGUGUAGCGGUAGAAUGCGCAGAGUAGUACGGGAGGCAACGACCGGUGGCGA
rnacentral:rRNA from 1 species